AGGCGGCGGGCGGGAAGGAUGGUGUUUCUGUGGCCGGAGCAGCGGGUGCGGACCAGGAUCCGGGCUGCGGUUUGGCUGAAGCGACGUGUGCUUGGGAGCAGCCGGCGCGGGUGUCGCUGAGGCAGCGGACGGACGGACAGACGGACGAGGCGAUCCGAGAACUUGUCCUGGGGCCGCGGCGGAGGCGAGAUGCUGGGGCCGCCCGCGCUGCUGCUGCUCCUGGCCGCCGGCGGUGCCCGGGCCGCGCCGCUCCCGCAGACAGGUGCAGGGGAGGCACCUGCUGCAGAAGUUUCCUCAUCUUUUGUGAUCCUAUCUGUGGGCAGUUUAAUGUUAUUAAUAGUGUUAAUUGUAAACUGUGUAUCCUGCUGUAAGGACCCAGAAAUAGAUUUUAAGGAAUUUGAAGAUAAUUUUGAUGAUGAGAUAGAUUUCACACCACCAGCCGAAGAUACUCCCUCUGUUCAAUCUCCAGCAGAAGUUUUCACACUUUCAGUGCCAAAUAUUUCACUACCAGCUCCAUCGCAGUUCCAGCCUU